AUUGAACGCUGGCGGCAGGCUUAACACAUGCAAGUCGAGCGAGCGGCGGACGGGUGAGUAAUGUCUGGGAAACUGCCUGAUGGAGGGGGAUAACUACUGGAAACGGUAGCUAAUACCGCAUACCAUCAGAUGUGCCCAGAUGGGAUUAGCUAGUAGGUGGGGUAAUGGCUCACCUAGGCGACGAUCCCUAGCUGGUCUGAGAGGAUGACCAGCCACACUGGAAAUGAGACACGGUCCAGACCCCUACGGGAGGGAGGAGUGGGGAAUAUUUGAAAAUGGGGGGAAGCCUGAUGAAGCCAUGGCGGGGGGUGGAAGAAGGCCUUCGGGUUGGAAAGCACUUUCAGCGAGGAGGCGUUACUCGCAGAAGAAGCACCGGCUAACUCCGUGCCAGCAGCCGCGGUAAUAC
rnacentral:rRNA from 1 species